AACGAACGCUGGCGGCAGGCCUAACACAUGCAAGUCGAACGCUUCAGCAAUGAAGAGUGGCAGACGGGUGAGUAACGCGUGGGAAUCUUCCCAGUGGUACGGAAUAGCCCAGGGAAACUUGGGGUAAUACCGUAUAAGCCCUUCGGGGGAAAGAUUUAUCGCCAUUGGAUGGGCCCGCGUCGGAUUAGCUUGUUGGUGAGGUAAAAGCUCACCAAGGCGACGAUCCGUAGCUGGUCCGAGAGGAUGAUCAGCCACACUGGGACUGAGACACGGCCCAGACUCCUACGGGAGGCAGCAGUGGGGAAUAUUGGACAAUGGGCGCAAGCCUGAUCCAGCCAUGCCGCGUGAGUGACGAAGGCCCUAGGGUUGUAAAGCUCUUUUGGCGGGGACGAUAAUGACGGUACCCGCAGAAUAAGCUCCGGCUAACUUCGUG
rnacentral:rRNA from 1 species